AUGGUAAUGGCAAGGUGCAGUGCAAUUUGUGUUCAAGGUUGUUGGUGUCAGACACUGACUGAGUCUGAGGCUAUAGUCAUUAAACCUGGAGAAUCUCAUAAACUGACCUGCAUUGCCUCUGGUUUUGACUUUGGUGGCUCCAGGAUGGCUUGGAUCAGACAGGCACCUGGAAAAGGGCUGGAAUGGGUGGCAUUAAUAAGAUAUGAUAGCCAGUAUAUUUAUUACUCCCAGUCUGCCCAAAGACGGUUCACCAUCUCCAGAGACAACAGUAAGAAUCAGGUGUAUCUGCAAAUGAACAGCCUCAAGACUGAGGACAGUGCAGUGUUCUACUAUGCUCGUGAGCCACAGUGGCAGAAAUGA